rnacentral:lncRNA from 1 species
CUCAAAGGACCAGCAAAGGGCUGGUGCAAGUCUAUCAGCACUGCCUGCAUGAACAGCCACCAUUGGUGUACAUCGUGGACUGCACCUGUGUGGACACCAACAUGGGGCCUGAGGGAAGACGUGCAUUUAGAGACCUCAAGCAAUUCCUUUUGAGUUGAGGGACUUUGAGAAGAGCAAUGCAAAAGUGAAAAAAAUGGCUGAGAAACACUGUGAUAGAAGGCUAGAUGACCCAGGUAGCAACAGAGUUUUGCAGUUACAAUCUUCAAUCAAGGAGACAUUAAAAUGAGAGCGGGAAAAUGCAAGGGCUUCACAACUAAUCAAGUUCCUGGGCUGGAAGUCAGGAAAAUAGAACACUAAUUUUCCAGCUUAGCAUGGACCGGGCUUGCUUGUUUGUCCAGAAAUCAACGGUCACCCACUGUUGUAGAAGUAUUCACUAAGUACAAAUGUGCUAGGCAUGGCUGAAGCAAGGAAAGAUGUACAAGAAACCUAAACAUUAAAUUGAGAGUCGCUACAGUGGUUGCUUCAAAUGAUCCCCUCUCAUUGCAAGCCAUUGGUAUCAACUUUGCCUCUAAGCUAGUGGUUUCCACUCGGAAUUUCCUAAAUUACAAAUGUAAAGGUAAAUUGGCGUGGGCACAUUCUGUGGUCUCCUUUCUACCAGCGUCUCUCUCUGUAAUAAACACUGUGGGCCAGGCGCAGUGGCUCAUGUGUGUAAUCUUAGUGUUUGGGAGGCCAAGGUGGGUGGAUUGCUUGAGGCCAGGAGUUUGAGACCAAC